CUAUCUUAAGUGGGUUCAGCUUCCUGCAACAAAGCCGUCUUAACUACAGCUGUGCUUCCAACUGGAUUCUGAACUUUCCAUAGGAUGCUCUAAGUCUGGAACUAUGGGAUCCUCAUCUCUCACUACUGGUAGUGAAACAAUAUAGUCUGAUUACUACUGCGUCCUGUGCAGUUUAGCUGUUCCAGCACGCACUGAAGAUGCUUGCCUGAACCAGUUGUUCCGAGUAUGGUUGCCAAAGGGU